rnacentral:misc_RNA from 1 species
GAUGAAGAACGCAGCGAAAUGCGAUAAGUAGUGUGAAUUGCAGAAUUCAGUGAAUCAUCGAAUCUUUGAACGCACAUUGCGGCCAUAGGUAUUCCUUUGGCCAUGCCUGUUCGAGCGUCAUUUACACCCUCAAGCCUAGCUUGGUGUUGGGCGUCUGUCCCGCCGUUCUCGCGCGCGGACUCGCCUCAAAGUCAUUGGCGGCGGUCGUGCCGGCCCCCUCGCGCAGCACAUUUGCGCUUCUCGGAGGCCCGGCGGAUCCGCGCUCCAGCAAGACCUUUCACGAAUUGACCUCGGAUCAGGUAGGGAUACCCGCUGAACUUAAGCAUAUCAAUAAGCGGAGGA